rnacentral:rRNA from 1 species
GACGAACGCUGGCGGCGUGCUUAACACAUGCAAGUCGAACGGAAAGGCCCUGCUUUUGUGGGGUGCUCGAGUGGCGAACGGGUGAGUAACACGUGAGUAACCUGCCCUUGACUUUGGGAUAACUUCAGGAAACUGGGGCUAAUACCGGAUAGGAGCUCCUGCUGCAUGGUGGGGGUUGGAAAGUUUCGGCGGUUGGAGAUGGACUCGCGGCUUAUCAGCUUGUUGGUGGGGUAGUGGCUUACCAAGGCUUUGACGGGUAGCCGGCCUGAGAGGGUGACCGGCCACAUUGGGACUGAGAUACGGCCCAGACUCCUACGGGAGGCAGCAGUGGAGAAUAUUGCACAAUGGGCGGAAGCCUGAUGCAGCAACGCCGCGUGCGGGAUGACGGCCUUCGGGUUGUAAACCGCUUUCGCCUGUGACGAAGCGUGAGUGACGGUAAUGGGUAAAGAAGCACCGGCUAACUACGUG